rnacentral:rRNA from 1 species
GCUUAACCGGAGAAGUGCAUCGGAAACUGAUAAACUUGAGUACAGAAAAGGAUAGUGGAACUUCAUGUGUAGCGGUGAAAUGCGUAGAUAUAUGAAGGAACACCAGUGGCGAAGGCGGCUAUCUGGUCUGUAACUGACGCUGAGGCUCGAAAGCAUGGGUAGCAAACAGGAUUAGAUACCCUGGUAGUCCAUGCCGUAAACGAUGAAUGCUAGGUGUUGGAAGGUUUCCGCCUUUCAGUGCCGCAGCUAACGCAUUAAGCAUUCCGCCUGGGGAGUACGACCGCAAGGUUGAAACUCAAAGGAAUUGACGGGGACCCGCACAAGCGGUGGAGCAUGUGGUUUAAUUCGAUGCUACGCGAAGAACCUUACCAGGACUUGACAUCUUCUGCCAAUCUAAGAGAUUAGACGUUCCCUUCGGGGACAGAAUGACAGGUGGUGCAUGGUUGUCGUCAGCUCGUGUCGUGAGAUGUUGGGUUAAGUCCCGCAACGAGCGCAACCCUUGUCUUUAGUUGCCAGCAUUAAGUUGGGCACUCUAGAGAGACUGCCGGUGAUAAACCGGAGGAAGGUGGGGAUGACGUCAAAUCAUCAUGCCCCUUAUGUCCUGGGCUACACACGUGCUACAAUGGGCGAUACAACG